rnacentral:rRNA from 1 species
UUUGGAUGUACCUAGUGGCGAACGGGUGAGUAACACGUGAAUAACCUGCCCUGGAGUGGGGAACAACAGUUGGAAACGACUGCUAAUACCGCAUAAGCCCACAGAGCCGCAUGGCUCAGGGGGAAAAGGAGUAAUUCGCUUCAGGAUGGAUUCGCGUCCAAUUAGCUGGAUGGUGAGGUAACGGCCCACCAUGGCGACGAUUGGUAGCCGGACUGAGAGGUUGAUCGGCCACAUUGGGACUGAGACACGGCCCAGACUCCUACGGGAGGCAGCAGUGGGGAAUAUUGCACAAUGGGGGAAACCCUGAUGCAGCGACGCCGCGUGGAGGAAGAAGGUCUUCGGAUUGUAAACUCCUGUCGUUGGGGACGAUAAUGACGGUACCCAACAAGAAAGCCACGGCUAACUACGUGCCAGCAGCCGCGGUAAUACGUAGGUGGCAAGCGUUAUCCGGAAUUACUGGGUGUAAAGGGAGCGCAGGCGGGAUAGCAAGUCAGCUGUGAAAACUAUGGGCUUAACCCAUAAACUGCAUUUGAAACUGUAUCUCUUGAGUGCUGGAGAGGUAGAUGGAAUUCCUUGUGUAGCGGUGAAAUGCGUAGAUAUAAGGAAGAACACCAGUGGCGAAGGCGAUCUACUGGACAGUAACUGACGCUGAGGCGCGAAAGCGUGGGGAGCAAACAGGAUU